AGAGUUUGAUCCUGGCUCAGGACGAACGCUGGUGCCUAACACAUGCAAGUCGAGGGGAUAUGUAGCAAUACAUGUUCACUGGCGCACGGGUGAGUAACGCGUAGAUAAUCUGCCCUUAACACUAACAUAACGUCGAGAAAUUGACGCUAAUAUUAGAUAAUACCGCAAGGUCAAAGAGCAAUCGGUUAGGGAUGAGUCUGCGUAAGAUUAGCUAGUUGGCGGGGUAAUGGCCCACCAAGGCGACGAUCUUUAGCUGGUCUGAGAGGACGAUCAGCCACACUGGAACUGCCCACCAAGGCGACGAUCUUUAGCUGGUCUGAGAGGACGAUCAGCCACACUGGAACUGCCCACCAAGGCGACGAUCUUUAGCUGGUCUGAGAGGACGAUCAGCCACACUGGAACUGAACACGGUCCAGACUCCUACGGGAGGCAGCAGUGAGGAAUUUUCCACAAUGGGCGCAAGCCUGAUGGAGCGACGCCGCGUGCGGGAUGAAGGGGCUCUGCCUUGUAAACCGCUGUCGGAAGGGAAGAAUGAGACCCUCGGGGUCUUUAGACAGUACCUUUAAAGGAAGGAUCAGCUAACUACGUGCCAGCAGCCGCGGUAAUACGUAGGAUCCAAGCGUUGUCCGGAAUUACUGGGCGUAAAGGGUGCGUAGGCGGAUUUGUGCGUCAGAGGUGAAAUCCCACGGCUUAACCGUGGAACUGCCUUUGAUACGGCAAAUCUUGAGUGCGAGAGAGGCGAGUAGAAUUCCAGGUGUAGCGGUGAAAUGCGUAGAUAUCUGGAGGAAUACCAGUGGAGAAGUCGGCUCGCUGGCUCGUAACUGACGCUGAGGCACGAAAGCGUGGGGAUCAAACAGGAUUAGAUACCCUGGUAGUCCACGCCCUAAACGAUGUAUGCUUGGCUUGGGAUAGCAAUAUUUCGGAGCCGUAGAAAUCUGUUAAGCAUACCGCCUGGGGAGUACGAUCGCAAGGUGAAACUCAAAGGAAUUGACGGGGGCCCGCACAAGCGGUGAUCAUGUGUUUAUCGAUGCACGCGAGA
rnacentral:rRNA from 1 species